rnacentral:tRNA from 1 species
GGCUUGUGGCUUAGUGGUAGAGCACUUACCUUGCAUGUGUGAGACACUGGGUUCAAUCCUCAGCACUA